GACGAACGCUGGCGGCGUGCUUAACACAUGCCAGUCGAACGGAAAGGCCCUGCUUUUGUGGGGUGCUCGAGUGGCGAACGGGUGAGUAACACGUGAGUAACCUGCCCUUGACUUUGGGAUAACUUCAGGAAACUGGGGCUAAUACCGGAUAGGAGCUCCUGCUGCAUGGUGGGGGUUGGAAAGUUUCGGCGGUUGGGGAUGGACUCGCGGCUUAUCAGCUUGUUGGUGGGGUAGUGGCUUACCAAGGCUUUGACGGGUAGCCGGCCUGAGAGGGUGACCGGCCACAUUGGGACUGAGAUACGGCCCAGACUCCUACGGGAGGCAGCAGUGGGGAAUAUUGCACAAUGGGCGGAAGCCUGAUGCAGCAACGCCGCGUGCGGGACGACGGCCUUCGGGUUGUAAACCGCUUUCGCCUGUGACGAGGCGUGAGUGACGGUAAUGGGUAAAGAAGCACCGGCUAACUACGUG
rnacentral:rRNA from 1 species